GCGCCCGAAGACACAACAAUCAGCCGGCAAGGACAUCCCGUAUAGAAGAAAACGUCUGGUAGCUGACAUUCGUUGCGACAUUCAUUACUUUUCGGUAUUCUCUUGCACUGAUUUUACUAAAUAUUAAGAUACAUAAAUAUUAUAGGGAUUUAUUAAUUUUCAUUAAUUAUUUAUCAAUUAUUAUUUAUUAUUUAUUUUUUUAAAUCUCUAUGUGCGAUAUCAUUUGAUAAAAUUUAACGCAGGAGUGUCGAAUAUAGGUCGAGCGCCGAUGAACAAACACUUUGCUGUAAAUAUUUAGAAACAAAAAUAAAUAAAAAUAUGUACAUACGCACUCUGCCUGUUUUUGGUGUCGAUACUUUCCGAUAUUUUUUUCCCAUUGUUCCGUAUUUGUUAUCAUCUAUGUUUUUUUCGAGCUAUAGUUUUAUAUUCCUGCCAUGAUAUCCCUAAGAGGGCGCUAGCGCACAGCAAGAUUUUUCUGGUACGCUAAAUUCCGUAAGACCAACGGUCUGUAUUAGUAUCUUGUCAGUGACGUUGCGGGCGAAGAAGAUAGAGAUAUGAUAUCAAAGUCUUUUGUUCGAUUCCGUGGCGGUUCCUGUAAUUACGCAUAUUUUUGAUCGUGGGAACUGCGUACGCGUUGUCCCUGUUUUUCUUUCACUUUCCUAACCGUUGACUGGCGUAAGAGAGAGUAUAAUAGCUCUGCUGCUCAGAGCCAUUUAUUGAAGUCAGAGUCAGAACCAGAGAUAAUAUUUUAUAUAUUUUUCUUGUGGAAUUUCACGGUCUUAUGAUUAAGUCAUGAAAUUAUGCAUAAUGGAAGAGGAUUGACAAAGAUCAGAAGAGGUGUAAGCAGUUCAAAUAUGAUAACUCAGAGGAACCAAUAACUGGCACUUACAUCAUGAGCUUUUUUUUUUUUUAUAUAUAAAA